AGUGAACGCUGGCGGUAGGCCUAACACAUGCGAGUCGAACGGCAGCACAGUAAGAGCUUGCUCUUACGGGUGGCGAGUGGCGGACGGGUGAGGAAUACAUCGGAAUCUACUUUUUCGUGGGGGAUAACGUAGGGAAACUUACGCUAAUACCGCAUACGACCUACGGGUGAAAGCAGGGGAUCUUCGGACCUUGCGCGAUUGAAUGAGCCGAUGUCGGAUUAGCUAGUUGGCGGGGUAAAGGCCCACCAAGGCGACGAUCCGUAGCUGGUCUGAGAGGAUGAUCAGCCACACUGGAACUGAGACACGGUCCAGACUCCUACGGGAGGUAGCAGUGGGGAAUAUUGGACAAUGGGCGCAAGCCUGAUCCAGCCAUACCGCGUGGGUGAAGAAGGCCUUCGGGUUGUAAAGCCCUUUUGUUGGGAAAGAAAAGCAGCAGGUUAAUACCCCGCUGUUCUGACGGUACCCAAAGAAUAAGCACCGGCUAACUUCGUG
rnacentral:rRNA from 1 species